rnacentral:pre_miRNA from 1 species
UGUGUACUCCCUCCGUUCCAAAAUACUUGACUUCCAUUUGUCCAAAAAUGGAUGUACCUAUAUACUAAAACAUGUCUAGAUACAUAUAUAUUUUGACAAAUAGAAGGCAUGUAUUGUGCAACGGAGGGACUAGAAU